rnacentral:rRNA from 1 species
AUCGCAGGCUGCAAUCCGCCUGCGUGAAGUCGGAAUUGCUAGUAAUCGCGGAUCAGCAUGCCGCGGUGAAUACGUUCCCGGGCCUUGUACACACCGCCCGUCACACCAUGGGAGCCGGUAACACCCGAAGUCAGUAGCCUGACCAAUUCUGGAGGGCGCUGCCGAAGGUGGGAUUGGUGACUGGGGUGAAGUCGUAACAAGGUACC